UAGCAUAUCAAUAAGCGGAGGAAAAGAAACUAACAAGGAUUCCCCUAGUAACUGCGAGUGAAGCGGGAAAAGCUCAAAUUUAAAAUCUGGCAGCUUUGGCUGUCCGAGUUGUAGUCUGGAGAAGCGUCUUCCGCGCUGGACCGUGUACAAGUCUCUUGGAACAGAGCGUCAUAGAGGGUGAGAAUCCCGUCCAUGACACGGACUACCAGUGCUUUGUGAUGCGCUCUCAAAGAGUCGAGUUGUUUGGGAAUGCAGCUCAAAAUGGGUGGUAAAUUCCAUCUAAAGCUAAAUAUUGGCGAGAGACCGAUAGCGAACAAGUACCGUGAGGGAAAGAUGAAAAGCACUUUGGAAAGAGAGUUAAACAGUACGUGAAAUUGCUGAAAGGGAACCGCUUGAAGUCAGUCGCGUCUUGCAGAACUCAACCUGGCAUUUGCUUGGUGCACUUUCUGUAUGACGGGCCAACAUCAGUUUUGACUGCUGGAAAAAUUCCUUAGGAAUGUGGCACCUACGGGUGUGUUAUAGCCUUUGGUUGUAUACAGUGGUUGGGACUGAGGACCGCAGCACGCCUUAUGGCCGGGGUUCGCCCACGUACGUGCUUAGGAUGUUGGCGUAAUGGCUUUAAGCGACCCGUCUUGAAACACGGACCAAGGAGUCUAACAUGCCUGCGAGUGUUUGGGUGGUAAACCCGAGCGCGUAAUGAAAGUGAAAGUUGGGAUCCCUGUCGUGGGGAGCACCGACGCCCAUACCAGACCUUCUGUGACGGCUAUGCGGUUGAGCAUGUAUGUUGGGACCCGAAAGAUGGUGAACUAUGCCUGAAUAGGGUGAAGCCAGAGGAAACUCUGGUGGAGGCUCGUAGCGAUUCUGACGUGCAAAUCGAUCGUCAAAUUUGGGUAUAGGGGCGAAAGACUAAUCGAACCAUCUAGUAGCUGGUUC
rnacentral:rRNA from 1 species